GGAGCCUGAGGCCAACAUGCUGGAGCCAACAUCUGUCACCCCAUUGAUCACCAGGGUUGAUUCCUCUGAUCUGCCUGGCUAGGCGGGUGUCCCCUUCCUCCCUCACCGCUCCAUGUGCGUCCCUCCCGAAGCUGCAUGCUUUGGUGGAAGAGGAUGGCUUUCUCCAAAUAGAGAUGGACUAGUCAAGAGUAUACGAGUAGCUGUGCUCCCCUGCUAGAACCUCCAAACAAGCUCUCAAAUAUGGGAAGAGUAUAUAAAUACCGUUAAUUGUAAACCCCAUAAAUCUGAUCUAUUUCUAU
rnacentral:snRNA from 1 species